CACGAGGGGGCGAGCGUUGUUCGGAAUUAUUGGGCGUAAAGGGCGCGUAGGCGGAUGGCACAGUCAGAUGUGAAAUUCCCGGGCUUAACCUGGGGCUGCAUUUGAUACGUGUUGUCUAGAGUGAGGAAGAGGGUUGUGGAAUUCCCAGUGUAGAGGUGAAAUUCGUAGAUAUUGGGAAGAACACCGGUGGCGAAGGCGGCAACCUGGUCCUUGACUGACGCUGAGGCGCGAAAGCGUGGGGAGCAAACA
rnacentral:rRNA from 1 species